GAGUCAUGGGAAGAACCUGCAGAGUUGGAAUAUGUUAAGCAACAUGGGAUUUCAGUUUUUCUCAUGCCGUCUGGGAUGUUGGGAACUCUGCUCUCUUUGGUAGAUGUAUUACCUCUGUUUUCCAACACCAUUUGGGGCCAAAAUGCCAAUUUAGCUUUCCUUAAGAAGCACAUGGGUGCUACAUUUGAAAAGCGAUCCCAGCCUUGGCAAGCAACUAUCAAUCCAGACGAUGUUCAUUCUGGUGAUUUCUUA
rnacentral:misc_RNA from 1 species